rnacentral:rRNA from 1 species
GAUAAACGCUAGCGGCAGGCUUAACACAUGCAAGUCGAGGGGCAGCAUAGAUUGUAGCAAUACAAUUGGUGGCGACCGGCGCACGGGUGCGUAACGCGUAUGCAACCUACCCGUCACAGGGGGAUAAUCCGGAGAAAUCUGGUCUAAUACCCCAUAACAUAUGGAUCGGCAUCGGUUCAUGUUGAAAUUUUCGGAGGUGACGGAUGGGCAUGCGUAGGAUUAGCUUGUUGGUGAGGUAAUGGCUCACCAAGGCGACGAUGCUUAGGGGGACUGAGAGGUUUUCCCCCCACACUGGUACUGAGACACGGACCAGACUCCUACGGGAGGCAGCAGUGAGGAAUAUUGGUCAAUGGGCGCAAGCCUGAACCAGCCAUGCCGCGUGCAGGAUGACGGCUCUAUGAGUUGUAAACUGCUUUUGUACGAGGGUAAAGUGGGUUACGUGUAACCUUUUGAAAGUAUCGUACGAAUAAGGAUCGGCUAACUCCGUGCCAGCCGCCGCGGUAA